AAAAAAACAAACUCUGAAUUUCCGUGCCAACUAUUGACUGUCCAUCUUAUAUGAAAUUUUUUUAUAAUUAGUAUUUUCAUUGUUAUUAGAUGAUAAAACAUGAUUAAUACUUUAUGCGUGACUUAUCUUUUUUUUAUAUAAUUUUUUCAAAUAAGACAAACGGUCAAACGUUGGACACGGAAAUCAGGGUUUGUCUUUUU
rfam:Oryza nivara chromosome 1, whole genome shotgun sequence.